GCACUACUGAGGAGUUCCAGAGCAGGACGAAACGGCAGUCCAGUGC
rfam:Schistosoma mattheei strain Denwood, Zambia genome assembly, scaffold: SMTD_scaffold0014693